GUUGAGAAGUAAAACUCUGCAUGCCUAAAAAAGUCAUAUGGAUGGAAUGGCAUUUCCUUUUUAGUAUUGGGACCCAAUCCAAGUAAAACCCAAAACAGCACUAUGGCCCAUCAAAACUAGCAUUUUCAUUUGUUCAAUAGGACAAUUGUGUAGGUGGGGCCCACCUUUUUAUUUUUUUAGUUUAUUUGUUUUCUAGUGGUACCCAUCUUUCUUUGGGCUUGUGUCUGCUCCUCUCAGACAAUCAUAGACAUCCAAUUGCUAGCUUUCAGGUGGACGCCAUCCAAUGGUCCACAUUUAAUAGGGGCUUGAUCAGACAGUUUAUCUUCA